rfam:Hortaea werneckii EXF-2000 unitig_19, whole genome shotgun sequence.
UGUUGUGAUGAAUCGGCACUGGGCUCCGACAACAUUACAUGAGCCGAUAUGCCACUUUGCGACAGGCCUAGAAAACCUCGUCCACUGAUC